UACGUAGGGCCCGAGCAUUAUCCGGAAUUAUUGGGCGUAAAGAGCGUGUAGGUGGUUUUUCAAGUCGGUCGUUAAAUCUCAGAGCUUAACUCUGAGACCGCGAGCGAUACUGAAUAACUCGAGGUUUGCAGGGGCAAGCAGAAUUUCUGGAGUAGGGGUGAAAUCCGUUGAUACCAGAAGGAAUACCAAUGGCGAAGGCAGCUUGCUGGGCAAUACCUGACACUGAGACGCGAAAGCGUGGGGAGCAAACGGG
rnacentral:rRNA from 1 species